UAUUGGUCAAUGUAGGCGAGACUGAACCAGCCAAGUAGCGUGAAGGAUGACUGCCCUAUGGGUUGUAAACUUCUUUUAUAUGGGAAUAAAGUUUUCCACGUGUGGAAUUUUGUAUUUACCAUAUGAAUAAGGAUCGGCUAACUCCGUGCCAGCAGCCGCGGUAAUACGGAGGAACCGAGCGUUAUCCGGAUUUAUUGGGUUUAAAGGGGGCGUAGGUGGAUUGUUAAGUCAGUUGUGAAAGUUUGCGGCUCAACCGUAAAAUUGCAGUUGAAACUGGCAGUCUUGAGUACAGUAGAGGUGGGCGGAAUUCGUGGUGUAGCGGUGAAAUGCUUAGAUAUCACGAAGAACUCCGAUUGCGAAGGCAGCUCACUAGACUGCAACUGACACUGAUGCUCGAAAGUGUGGGGAUCAAAC
rnacentral:rRNA from 1 species